GACGAACGCUGGCGGCGUGCUUAACACAUGCAAGUCGUACGGUAAGGCCCUUUCGGGGGUACACGAGUGGCGAACGGGUGAGUAACACGUCAGUAACCUUCCCACAACUUUGGGACAACGCUAGGAUACUGGUGCUAAUACUGGAUAUGUGCUCCUUCUGCAUGGUGGGGGUUGGAAAGCUCCGGCGGUUGUGGAUGGCCUCGCUGCCUAUCAGCUUGUUGGUGGGGUAGUGGCCUACCAAGGCGGCGACGGGUAGCCGGCCUGCGAGGGUGACCGGCCACAUUGGGACUGAGAUACGGCCCAGACUCCUACGGGAGGCAGCAGUGGGGAAUAUUGCACAAUGGGCGCAAGCCUGAUGCAGCAACGCCGCGUGCGGGAUGACGGCCUUCGGGUUGUAAACCGCUUUCAGCAGGGACGAAGCUUUUUGUGACGGUACCUGCAGAAGAAGCACCGGCUAACUACGUG
rnacentral:rRNA from 1 species